rnacentral:rRNA from 1 species
AUAAUCAUUAGUCUCUUAAUUAGAGAAUUGUAUGAAUGGUUGUACGUAGCUUUAUUUUAUUAACUAAACCUCUUGAAAUUAAAUUUUAAGUGAAAAUGCUUAAUUAUCUUUAUAGACGAUAAGACCCUGUAGAGUUUUAUUUAAUUUUAUUACUUAUAAAUUAUUGGUAUGAUAUAAUUUUACAGUUAAAUUUUAUUGGGGCAAUAAAAGAAUAACAUUAACUUCUUUAUUUUAAUUUUCACUAGAUAUUUUAACUUAUUUAAAAAUAAAGUAAAAAAUUACCUUAGGGAUAACAGCGUAAUUAAAGUUAAGAGUUCUUAUCGACACUUUAGAUUGCGACCUCGAUGUUGAAUUAAAGAUUCUGAAGGGGGCACAUUUUCUUCUUGAUAGUCUGUUCGACUAUAAAAAUUUUACAUGAUUUGAGUUCAAACCGGUGUGA